CUAGUAACACCUGCUAAAAUGCCCUCUGUGAUACAGCCACUAAAGAGGCAAUCCUGUUUAUACUGGUGGAGAUGUGGGUUAGAAUUCAGUUGAGCCUAUUCCCAAUUGGGAAUGCAGUUAUCAUCUAUCAGUCUUUGGUUUGUUUUUCCUGACAGUAUGGAAGCUGCAUCUCCAGCGAUCAAUAUACAUAAUUUUACAGAAGGCCGUCGGAAAAAAUAAGUGCGUCACCCAAAUUGAGAGACAUCUUGCAAACAUCCGCGGGGAACAUAUCUUUAACGUGUGAUAAUUCUACUCCAGAACCUUCUAAAACUGCUUUAGACAGAUGGAGCCUGAUCAGAAACAUGAGGACAUUGAUAUUUCUACACUUCAAGUUCAAGUGGAUGAUGUCAAAAAUGUUAUGACUCAAAAUAUUGAAAAAGUCUUGAAAAGAGAAGAGCGGCUGUCUGACCUAGCUGACAGAAGUGAUGAUCUUGAAACAGCGGCUCAUGGUUUCCAAAAAACCACUACAAAGAUUGCAAGGAAGAUGUGGUGGAAAAACACAAAAAUGAUCGUAAUUAUUGUGGCAAUUAUCCUUAUUGUUGUGACUUUCAUUGUUCUCCUGGCCACAGGUGUUAUUCCAACAUAAAGAAUAUAUGUAGCUAAAUGUAACAAACAGAAUAUGCUGUAAAAAUAUUCUGUAUUAAAACAUUUUGGUAUAUUCAUUUUUAUAUAUUAAAAUAUAUUUAACAGCUACUA